UUAAUCAAACAGUUAAGUAAAUUGCAUUCACGAUUCAUGAAAUCACAACUGGAAGUAAUCAAUUCAUAUUGCAAAUAUGUUCAUGGCUUUGAAUUUCCCCCUAACUAAAACGAGUUUAGCUCCUUAUGUUCGCAAUUAAACAAAGACAAUUAAAUUUAAACAUUAAAACAAUGGAUAGAAUACACCUAGAAAUGCUCCAACAAUCCAACAUCUUGAAUGGAAAGCACGGCUCCAAGGGUCUUCUCUCCUUUCUCCUUGCAAAUUUGCGGCACAAUGGGAUGAAUGUGUAUGGGUGUAUAUGGCACGAAUUUGUAGUGAAUGGUGGUAGUGGGUGGUGAUCUGAAUGAAUGCUGCAGCAAUUAUAUUUAUAGGGAGAAAAGGCACGGCCUAGGUAGCAUUGGAAAAGGAUUGGCACUCCAAAACCCAAGUGGAAUGGGUUAAAACAAUCAGAAACCAAGGGAAAUUAGGAUGACACAUCAAAAACCAUCAGGAACAAGGAUAUAAGGUGCGGCACAACUAGGAAAAGGGGUUUUAGAAGGGGUUAGGGCGCCACUUUUGUAAGGAGAGGAGAUAAGGCUUCUAGAAUCUGAAAUAUGUAUUUUAAAUGCAUAAUUAUCCCUUAUAAAUGGCUGGAAUUAAGGCACAAACUGAUUUAGAUAAGAUAAGAUUGGAUAAUGCUAGAUUAGGAAAUGAUAAGAUAAGAUAAGGUUAGUUGGGAUAAGAUAAGGUUGGAUAAGGUUUUGGAUAAUGACUCUUUCUUUUGAGCUGAUUCCUUAUCUUCUUUGUCUUGGAUUUAUUUUCUUCAUCUUUUCAACACAUUCCUAGUCUCUUGAACUUCAAAUUUGUCCAUCCAUCUUGCUCCACUCAUAAGCUAUCCAUUUGAUGCCCAAAACUGCCUCAAAAUGCUCCAAAUUGCACUUUCUUACCAACUUUGUUAUUUGGACCUACAAACACAUGAAAAUAGCUUAAAACACUAUAAUAAACACAAACUAACUAUGAAAAUGCAAGAAAACAAGCUAACUAAGUCGCAUAAAUAUACUCCUAUCAGGUACAUGCCAAAUUGGCAAAAGAAUCCAGGGCAUGAAGAUGGUUUUGAUUGGGAGGCUUAAAUUGUGGUAGGUAUGAAGGCCUUUGACUGUGUUUAACCGAA
rnacentral:lncRNA from 1 species